rnacentral:rRNA from 1 species
GCUCAGGAUGAACGCUAGCUACAGGCUUAACACAUGCAAGUCGAGGGGUAGCAGGGUAGCAAUACCGCUGACGACCGGCGCACGGGUGAGUAACACGUAUCCAACCUUCCCAUAACUCAGGGAUAGCCUUUCGAAAGAAAGAUUAAUACCCGAUAGUACUUAAGAAAGGCAUCUUUUUUAAGUUAAAGAUUUAUUGGUUAUGGAUGGGGAUGCGUUCCAUUAGAUAGUUGGUGAGGUAACGGCUCACCAAGUCUUCGAUGGAUAGGGGUUCUGAGAGGAAGGUCCCCCACAUUGGUACUGAGACACGGACCAAACUCCUACGGGAGGCAGCAGUGAGGAAUAUUGGUCAAUGGGCGAGAGCCUGAAC